GAAGUCUCUGACAACGAAGGUCUAGCAAACUACGUUGUCCCCGAGUCAUGCGCAGUAUGUCGCGAGAGAUGAGGCGAAGCGUCGACACGGUUACGUGCGGGCCAGCCAUUGAGGCGCGAUAGUUUAUAUAUCCCGAGUGCCGACGCCGUUGACACUGCGGAAGGCAAAACGACGGGGCGCGACAUUGCAAUUACCCCGUCGGCUUGGCGUGGUCGAAGACCC
rnacentral:ncRNA from 2 species